rnacentral:miRNA from 1 species
UCUGUUCUUAAGGAGGCUGAGGC